GACUCUGAAACGCCGUCUCCGGCUCUCUGAGGCUGGCUUCCACGAGGCCCAUGAGCCAGGCUCCAGGCCUCUGCCUGGCAUCAGGCUGCCUCGUUUCUGAUGCUUUUCUUUAACUUUCUGCUGCCAGCAGCUGCGGCUGAGCCAGUGUCGUUCUCUCCCUGCGAGGGCAGGGACCCUUCUCCAAGUGAGGUCUCUUGACAGAAGAAACACACAGACAACCCCUUAGGCCGAGUGUCAAAUCUUGCUCUGGUAAGAGAUGCCAGUGCCUCUUGGUGGAGUCUGAGUCACAAUCUGCAGCCUUUUGGAGCCUAGAGAGUGCUUGGACUCCAGGGUCCCUCCCUCGGGCCAGACACAGACUUAACACUUAGCAGGUGUUAAGUCCCAUGCUACCUCUCUGCUCAUCUGGGCCUGGGUCCUCCAACCCAAAGAUGGCAUCAAGGACGGCUCCCUGCUUUCGGGACCUGUGCUGGAGGACACAGUGGCAAGCUUACUGGGUGUGGAUGAAGAAAUGGUCCAAGCCGGAUACAAUAUUUCCCUGACUCUUCAAUCUGGGACCUCCAGCAUCCAGAACUUCAAGCAUAUUGGCCUUCUCCAAGAAGCCGAUCCUGGGAAAUUUCUACACCUCUAGCCCUCCAUUGACUUUCUAUGAUCUUAGCCUCAUCUUGGUACUAUGUGCACCACUGCAGCUGUGCUCUGGGUUCCAGGACAGCGGCUGUGCCCCGGGUUCCAGGACAGCAGCUGUGCUCGGGUUCCAGGACAGCGGCUGUGCUCCGGGUUCCAGGACAGCGGCUGUGCCCCGGGUUCCAGGUUCCAGGACAGCGGCUGUGCCCCGGGUUCCAGGACAGCGGCUGUGCCCCGGGUUCCAGGACAGCGGCUGUGCCCCGGGUUCCAGGUUCCAGGACAGCGGCUGUGCCCCGGGUUCCAGGACAGCGGCUGUGCUCCGGGUUCCGGGUUCCAGGAUAGCAGCUGUGCUCCGGGUUCCAGGUUCCAGGACAGCGGCUGUGCCCCGGGU